AAGAUAUUUUUGGAUAGAAAAAAAGCUUCUAACUUUAUUUUCAAGUAGUUCGAUUCUACUUAUAUCUUG
rnacentral:tRNA from 1 species